UGCAGCUAACGCAUUAAGCACUCCGCCUGGGGAGUACGACCGCAAGGUUGAAACUCAAAGGAAUUGACGGGGGCCCGCACAAGCGGUGGAGCAUGUGGUUUAAUUCGAAGCAACGCGAAGAACCUUACCAGGUCUUGACAUCCUUUGACCACUCUGGAGACAGAGCUUUCCCUUCGGGGACAAAGUGACAGGUGGUGCAUGGUUGUCGUCAGCUCGUGUCGUGAGAUGUUGGGUUAAGUCCCGCAACGAGCGCAACCCUUGAUUUUAGUUGCCAGCAUUUAGUUGGGCACUCUAAAGUGACUGCCGGUGCAAGCCGGAGGAAGGUGGGGAUGACGUCAAAUCAUCAUGCCCCUUAUGACCUGGGCUACACACGUGCUACAAUGGAUAGUACAAAGGGUCGCGAAGCCGCGAGGUGGAGCUAAUCCCAUAAAACUAUUCUCAGUUCGGAUUGUAGGCUGCAACUCGCCUACAUGAAGCCGGAAUCGCUAGUAAUCGUGGAUCAGCAUGCCACGGUGAAUACGUUCCCGGGCCUUGUACACACCGCCCGUCACACCACGAGAGUUUGUAACACCCGAAGUCGGUAGGGUAACCUUUAUGGAGCCAGCCGCCGAAGGUGGGACAGAUAAUUGGGGUGAAGUCGUAACAAGGUAGCCGUAUCGGAAGGUGCGGCUGGAUCACCUCCUUUCUAAGGAA
rnacentral:rRNA from 1 species